rnacentral:misc_RNA from 1 species
AAUUCUCAACCCCGAAUCUUUUUCGGGGCUUGGACUUUGGAGUGUGCUGGCGUCCAGUCGGCUCCUCUCAAAUGCAUUGGCGGAAUUGAACCUUUGGUGUCUGUACGUCAGUGUGAUAAUCAACGUUGCGCUGUCAUCGGUCAUCGAAGUCCGCUUACAAUGGUCUUCGGACAAACCCUUCAUCAA